UCCCACCUCCCAUCUGCAACACUAUAAAAGCAGGCAAACUUCCUGAUCUCUGCUUGCCUUGCCUCAAGGGCAACACCCUCACUGCUCCAGCUUUGCCGUGUGGCGGACCAGCUAACUCCUGAAUCUACCUCCAUCCAUCUGGUUUUGUGUAUGUCAAGGCUGUGCAGAAGAGGGAAGAAAGAACCUAAACACAAUUAUAUUUAAAAAUUCAUAAACUGCUAGACAUCUGGAAUGGAAAUAGAAAAAAAAAAUCCCUGAAGUAUCAACACUGCCCUGUAUGAAUCAGCAAACUACAGUCACAUAGCCUGCACUAGUGUCCAUGUCAUGCAUUUCACUUAAAUAUAAUUCAGAGGAACAGCACUGUAUAACUAAAGAACUCUUGAACCAUACAUAAUGCAAACACCAAUGAUGGCAACCUAACCAGUUUGUUUUUCUGAAGGAUCACAGUAAUUAAAAUAAAGAUAAUGUAAGAUUAGCUAAAUUAUGGGGAUUAUAGAGAAGAAUAUCAAUGUAGCAUUUCUGGACUACAAAAUUCAGUAUUUGUCAAACAUCUAUAGAACUUAAUAUAGAAUGAGAUGUUACUGACUACUACAGUCUGUUAAAAAAAAUGGCAAAACAUGCAGAAAGAAAGAAUUCCUGGAAGAAUGUUUUAACAGGUGUGAACUGCUCCAACCACUGCCAUCAGCUCAACAGUAUUACACAAUCAGGGAAGGGUGCAUUUUUCCAAGAAUUGAUAUCCAGUACUGAGAGAAAAAUAUAUAGAUAAAUAAAGAGAUUACCACUUUGCAAUAGUUAUUCAUCUGACAUUUCACUUCAAUACCAUAUCUACUUCCAAAUGUCUCUGGCUAUUUUCAUGCAAAAGGGAGUUAAUAAAUUUGGACCAUAAAAUCAAUAUUGUUCCACAGAAUCACACCAUGAGGUCAAGGUGGCAGAUCUGACACAGGCAGUAGGCCACAGGGACAGCUGGACUGCCUUGAAGGCUCUUCUGAAGAACAAAACAAUCAAGGAAAGACUGAAGAAGUGACUUGCCUAUGGCAAUUAUCUUUUACAAAUCAUCUGAAUUGUGAUUGUCAAUAAAACCUCAAUUUAAGUGGACGGACAUAAAUAAUUUUAAUUCCCAUUAACAUUUUCAAAUAGACCCUGUAGUAUAAGAAACAUGGGAUUUUGGCAGAAAAGGGUAUCACGUGCUGACAGAGUAAGCCUGCUGUGGAAAUUCAGUCUAAUCCUCCAAGAGACACUCGAGAUACAAAUUACUCUAGAGGCAUUAAAAGCAAGAUGCAAAUUAGUUUAAAAAUAGCCACCAUGGUUUGUUAGACAAGUAAGUUCCAUGAUCAGUUAAUUUGCUAUUCUUAAAACUUUAUAAAUUAACAUAAAUGUCACACAUCUGUAGCACACCAUUUCUAUCUCCAAGGAAAGCAGAACAUUAAAAAAAAGCCAGCAUUCAGAUUCAUUAUAUUUGACAGAAAAAAAAUGAAUGCCAACAGAAGAAGGACUUCUGUCCAUGCAGCAUUUUUCUUUACAAAACUUUUAAUGUUAUGGACAUUUGGCACCAUGUUGGAACAGUUUGCAAACUGUGUAUUAUUUUACACUGCACUUGACUGAGGUUUUUAUGUUCUCUUUGGUAUUACUGGCAAUAGAGAAUUCUGUUUUACAGUAA